UACGUAGGGUGCAAGCGUUGUCCGGAAUUAUUGGGCGUAAAGGGCUCGUAGGCGGUCCAUCGCGUCGGGAGUGAAAAGCUGGGGCUUAACCCCAGUCCUGCUUCCGAUACGGGUGGACUAGAGGUAGGUAGGGGAGAACGGAAUUCCUGGUGUAGCGGUGAAAUGCGCAGAUAUCAGGAGGAACACCCGUGGCGAAAGCGGCUCUCUGGGACGGUACUGACGCUGAGACGCGAAAGCGUGGGGAGCGAACAGG
rnacentral:rRNA from 1 species